rnacentral:tRNA from 1 species
AAUGUUAUAGCUUAGUGGUCUAAAGCAUCACUGGCCUAAUGUGAGGCUGCUGGUUUGAAUCCAGCUAGCAUCA